UGGGGAAUAUUGGGCAAUGGGCGAAAGCCUGACCCAGCAACGCCGCGUGAAGGAAGAAGGCCUUCGGGUUGUAAACUUCUUUGACCAGGGACGAAAAAAAUGACGGUACCUGGAAAACAAGCCACGGCUAACUACGUGCCAGCAGCCGCGGUAAUACGUAGGUGGCAAGCGUUAUCCGGAUUUACUGGGUGGAAAGGGCGUGUAGGCGGUUUCGUAAGUCGGAUGUGAAAGUCCCAGGCUUAACCUGGGAGCAGCAUCCGAAACUACAGAACUUGAGUACUGUAGAGGAUGGUGGAAUUCCUAGUGUAGCGGUAAAAUGCGUAGAUAUUAGGAGGAACAUCAGUGGCGAAGGCGACUAUCUGGACAGUAACUGACGCUGAGGCGCGAAAGCGUGGGGAGCAAACA
rnacentral:rRNA from 1 species